rnacentral:rRNA from 1 species
UACGUAGGGUGCAAGCGUUAAUCGGAAUUACUGGGCGUAAAGCGUGCGCAGGCGGUUCGCUAAGACAGAUGUGAAAUCCCCGGGCUUAACCUGGGAACUGCAUUUGUGACUGGCGGGCUAGAGUAUGGCAGAGGGGGGGUAGAAUUCCACGUGUAGCAGUGAAAAUGCGUAGAGAUGUGGAGGAAUACCGAUGGCGAAGGCAGCCCCCCUGGGCCAAUACUGACGCUCAUGCACGAAAGCGUGGGGAGCAACAGGAUUAGAGUACCGAA